ensembl:rRNA 5S_rRNA 5S ribosomal RNA
GCUUAUGGCCGUACCAGACGAAGAACACCCGAUCUCGUCCGAUCUAGGAAGCUAAGGAGGGUUGGGCCUGGUUAGUACUUGGAUGGGAGACCACCUGGGAGUACCAGGUGCUGUAAGCU